UGGGGAUAUUGCACAAUGGGGGAAACCCUGAUGCAGCGACGCCGCGUGAGUGAAGAAGUAUUUCGGUAUGUAAAGCUCUAUCAGCAGGAAAGAAAAUGACGGUACCUGACUAAGAAGCCCCGGCUAACUACGUGCCAGCAGCCGCGGUAAUACGUAGGGGGCAAGCGUUAUCCGGAUUUACUGGGUGUAAAGGGAGCGUAGACGGCAUGGCAAGUCUGAUGUGAAAGCUCGGGGCUCAACCCCGGAACUGCAUUGGAAACUGUUAAGCUAGAGUGCAGGAGAGGUAAGUGGAAUUCCUAGUGUAGCGGUGAAAUGCGUAGAUAUUAGGAGGAACACCAGUGGCGAAGGCGGCUUACUGGACUGUAACUGACGUUGAGGCUCGAAAGCGUGGGGAGCAAACAGGAUUAGAUACCCUGGUAGU
rnacentral:rRNA from 1 species